rnacentral:lncRNA from 1 species
AAACGACAAAACUGUAGCAACAGAUGGCUUAUUUUAAGGAAAGACUAAUAUGGGAAUUGUCUUUGGAGGACAGAGGGCUCUUUGCUCUCCAGCAAAAAGCACAGCGAGAUCCAGUAGAUGGAAGUGGGAAGUGAAAACACUCUCUCAGUUACUAUUAGAUGCCCAGAAUUGUCUAGAAUGAGCAGAAAACCUCCACUGAAUGGAGAGGAGCCUCAGGGCCUUCUGCCAGGAUAAAUGUCUGCAUGUUCACACACUAAUUUUCUUCCUCAAGCUCCUGAAAUGCUUUUGCAUACCUUGGCCUGGGGAUAGAACCACCACUCUCCUGAGCAUGCACCAGUCUCUCCAGUGGGGCUCUGCAAAAUGAGCCGAUCCUGGAGCUGCCCCAUCAGCUUCAGCAGAGUCCUGGCAGAGAUAUACAGAUGUGGGAUUGGCUCUUUCACUAUUUACAGAUAAAAUAGUCUUUUCCUACACAGUACUUGAUCCAGGUCUGAUAUGUGUAAUGGGAAGCUCUAGACUCCUUACACCAUCUUCCCAGCCAGCUACUGCUCCUUCAGGGACAGCCUGAGGAACUGCUCUUUUUUGCUAUUUGAGCAAGGGACUGACAACAGCUAAAGGGUAUUUCUAAAUAAUAAUGGCAUCACCAGGACUUGCACUCAUCCUGAGAAACAGCCCUGGAAGAAAC